rnacentral:ncRNA from 1 species
GGGGAUAUGGCGAAAUUGGUAGACGCUACGGACUUAAUUGGAUUGAGCCUUGGUAUGGAAACUUACUAAGUGAUAACUUUCAAAUUCAGAGAAACCCUGGAAUUAAAAAUGGGCAAUCCUGAGCCAAAUCCUGUUUUCCGAAAACAAAAAUAAGUUUCAUAAAGACAGAAAAAAAAAAGGAUAGGUGCAGAGACUCAAUGGAAGCUGUUCUAAUAAAUGAGGUUGACUGCGUUGCAUUAGUAAAGUAAAGAAAUCCUUCUGUCAAAACUCCAGAAAGGAUAAAGUAAAGGAUAACCGUAUAUACAUACGUAUACGUACUGAAAUACUAUCUCAAAUGAUUAAUAGGGACCCGAAUCCAUAUCCCUAUUUUUUUUAUCUUUAUCUUUAUAUAUAUAUUUUAUUUUAUAUAUAUUUUAUAGAACUCUAAAUAAUUGUUUUGAAUUGAUUCCAAGUUGAGGAAAGGAUUGAAUAUUAAUUGAUCAAACCAUUCACUUCAUAGUCUGAUAGAUAACUGACUAAUCGGACGAGAAUAAAGAUAGAGUCCCAUUCUACCUGUCAAUAUCGACAACAAGGAAAUUUAUAGUAAGAGGAAAAUCCGUCGACUUUAAAAAUCGUGAGGGUUCAAGUCCCUCUAUCCCCA